rnacentral:rRNA from 1 species
GUAGGUGGCAAGCGUUGUCCGGAAUUAUUGGGCGUAAAGCGCGCGCAGGCGGGUUCUUUAAGUCUGAUGUGAAAGCCCACGGGCUCAACCGUGGAGGGUCAUUGGAAACUGGAGAACUUGAGUACAGAAGAGGAAAGCGGAAUUCCACGUGUAGCGGUGAAAUGCGUAGAGAUGUGGAGGAACACCAGUGGCGAAGGCGGCUUUCUGGUCUGUAACUGACGCUGAGGCGCGAAAGCGUGGGGAGCAAACAGGAUUAGAUACCCUGGUAGUCCACGCCGUAAACGAUGAGUGCUAAGUGUUAGGGGGUUUCCGCCCCUUAGUGCUGCAGCUAACGCAUUAAGCACUCCGCCUGGGGAGUACGGCCGCAAGGCUA